UACGAAGGGUGCAAGCGUUACUCGGAAUUACUGGGCGUAAAGCGUGCGUAGGUGGUUUGUUAAGUCUGUUGUGAAAGCCCCGGGCUCAACCUGGGAAUGGCAAUGGAUACUGGCAAGCUAGAGUGCGGUAGAGGGUAGUGGAAUUCCCGGUGUAGCGGUGAAAUGCGUAGAGAUCGGGAGGAACACCAGUGGCGAAGGCGGCUCCUGGAC
rnacentral:rRNA from 1 species